ensembl:misc_RNA Metazoa_SRP Metazoan signal recognition particle RNA
GCCGGGUGUGGUGGCGCAUGCCUGUAGUCCCAGCUACUCCGGAAUCUGGGGUGGGAGGACGACUUGAGCCCGGGAGUUCUGGGCUGUAGUGCGCUGGGCUGAUUGUCCGAUACGCUACAGUCAGCGUCCAUAUAGUGACUUCCCAGGAGUGAGAGACCACCAGGUUGCUUAAGGAGGGGUGAACCGGCCCAGGCUGGAAAUGGAGCAAGUCAAAACUCCUGUGCCGAUCAGUAGUGGGACUGUGCCUGUGAAUAGCCACCGCACUACAGCCUGGGCAACAUCGCGAGUGGGACCCCAUCUCA